rnacentral:tRNA from 1 species
GAGGGUAUAGCUCAAGUGGUGGAGCACAUGCUUAGAAUGCAUGAGGUCCUGGGUUCAAUCCCCAGUACCUCCU